AUUGUACUCCCUCCGUUCGGAAUUACUUGUCUCAAAAAUGGAUGUAUUUAGAACUAAAAUACGUCUAGAUACAUCCAUUUCUGCGACAAGUAAUUUCGAACGGAGGGAGUAGGUU
rnacentral:pre_miRNA from 1 species